AUGAGAACCCUAGAAACGAGCCAAUCAGGAAAAGGCUCAAAAAUGGACCAAUCACGGACAGAAGGAUACUUUGUGAAAAUUGGACAUCCAACAGGAUUAAAUGAGAUGAAGGUAAACUACAACUUCAUUGCAGAUAUUUUGCCAUUUACUGACACUCAAAUACACUAGAACACAGUUAGGAUAAUUGUCUUAUCUUGAACUGAAUUUAAUAGAGGUGAUAUGUUUUAAAUUAAAUUGAUACUUUAAAUGUUAAAUCUGUAAAAGUCCCUGAAAAGAGGAUCAUGUCUAAAAAUCAGGUAUUCUAGUAGAUGUGUAAAUGUAGAAUAAAGCACCAGUCCUUAGUUUUUUGUUAAUGACA
rnacentral:lncRNA from 1 species